UCCAUUACUCGUUUUUGAUGUCUUCGUCAUGGUGAGGAAAACAUCUUACUUGUUAGUUUCGUGUGAUUAUCUAAAAUGUCAGUAACUGGGUUUCCAUCCAAAUGUUAAGCGAAUCUUUUCAAAAUUCGCAAUAAAAGAAAAACAAAUAACGGUGCGCGUUUCCAUCAAGUUGUUUGAGCGAAUGACGGUGAUAUUGGUUACCUAGUAACCAUAAACAAAACAAUUCGUGAAAAAUGGAGACAGGACUGCAUGUAGUCAGAAUGGAGCAAGUUUUAUGUAUUUGCCGUGCAGCUUGUAAUUGUCAAACUGAAUGCUGUGUUUAGAAGAAGGAAUGCAGACUUUUUCAAGAAGGCACAAGCAGGCAGCAAUUAAGGACAUUGCGACGACGUCGAGCCCCAUGAUAAAGACAACUCCAGGGGAAACAACUAGACGAUACAACAUUAUUUCAUCGUCAGUAUGGUGGGACAACCUCCUAGACAGUAUGCUACAAAGAUAUUGAUUUUUGUGAUUUGUUUUUUAAAUUUUACAUGUUUAUUUAGCACAAAUAAUAACAAUUUCCUACAAUUAUA